CACAUUUUAAUGAUCAUUGCUUAUCCAAAUUUCCUAAAUUCUGUUUUAAACAUUAUUUCUCACACUUAGAAUGUAAUGAAAAUGACAACAAAAUAUGGAAAGUAUUCUUUGUUUCUGAAAGGUGGAUUACAUGGUUCCAGAUGAACACAGAGAGCAGGAAGAAGCCCUGCCCAGGAAGACAGACACAGGAGACCCACUGCCUGCCAGUCACCAGCCUCAGGCACAGCUUGCCCUUACCUUCUUGAAAUGCUGGAGCUCAGGACGUGCCUGGAGAGAUGCCCUCCCCAAAAGAGGAGGACAACAAGUGGCCCUGCACGGCAUGCUUAAACUUCCCAAGUACUUGAGUGAACCUGAUCCUCCCAGGAUGACUACAGCUCCUGACAUCCCUAAACCCCUGACCUUGGAGCACAUGACCCUGACCCAUCGUGUUGUGGUAGGUCUGUCCUGU
rnacentral:lncRNA from 1 species